rnacentral:tRNA from 1 species
CCCGUCGUAGCUUAACGGUGAAGCGCCGCCCCGAUAAGGCGGAGACCGCGUGUUCAACUCACGCCGGCGGGACCA